GACGAACGCUGGCGGCGUGCCUAAUACAUGCAAGUCGAACGAGAGCGCCCGGUGCUUGCACUGGUCAAUCUAGUGGCGAACGGGUGAGUAACACGUGGGUAACCUGCCCAUCAGAGGGGGAUAACAUCCGGAAACGGAUGCUAAAACCGCAUAGGUCUUCGAGCCGCAUGGCUUGAAGAGGAAAAGAGGCGCAAGCUUCUGCUGAUGGAUGGACCCGCGGUGCAUUAGCUAGUUGGUGAGGUAACGGCUCACCAAGGCCGUGAUGCAUAGCCGACCUGAGAGGGUGAUCGGCCACAUUGGGACUGAGACACGGCCCAAACUCCUACGGGAGGCAGCAGUAGGGAAUCUUCCGCAAUGGACGCAAGUCUGACGGAGCAACGCCGCGUGAGUGAAGAAGGUUUUCGGAUCGUAAAACUCUGUUGUUAGAGAAGAACAAGUGCUAGAGUAACUGUUAGCGCCUUGACGGUAUCUAACCAGAAAGCCACGGCUAGCUACGUG
rnacentral:rRNA from 1 species